rnacentral:misc_RNA from 1 species
AAGUCGUAACAAGGUUUCCGUAGGUGAACCUGCGGAAGGAUCAUUAACAAGAAGAAUAUUGGUUUACUGAAUGUUAGUUGGGAUGGUGGUUGGGAGACUGACUGUCAUGCUUUCUAACAUUCUUUUAUAUCAAACACUAAUGUGAAUAGGAAUAUGUGGCAAAAACAAUGGGAAGGAUAACAACCAUUUUUUAUUAAACUCUUUAAACCUCAAACAAAAGAUAAACAAAAACAAAAAUACAGUAUUCAUAGCAAUACUAUAAAAAUUCAAAUAAAAUGAACAACUUUUAACAAUGGAUAUCUUGGUUCUCGC